GCAGAUUUUGCUUCUUCUCUCAUCCCCUCUGCCAACUCUGCAGACCUUCCAAACUUGGCUCCAAGUGGCUGUCUCCCUGGAGGAUCACUGUAACACAGCCACUGUUCCUGUAGCCAUGUGGAGUCCCCAGAGCGUUUUCAUCAAGUUACCAACUGUAGGAUAUCUGAAGCAGGAGUAUGUGUGAGAACAGAAAUUUUUCUCAGAGACCAAAGGUACAUGGCCUAAAUGAAUCAUGACAAAACGCUGCCUGGUGUCUUCCCAGGUGUCACAUAUAUGUGAGAAAAGGGACAAAGAAGAGAUGGAGGCAAGUAGAAUAAUGACUGUACUUCUGGGAAGGCCUGCAGUGCUUUUGGAAGAAUUGAUCAUGUUCUCCAGUGAGAGCCUUGUUCUGGGUGCUGUAAUUGUGCCAGAGAUGGAAUGUGAAACUACUUUUAUUGCAGAGACAUGGAGGACUAAUACUAACAAGCACAAGGAAACCAUUGAGAAAGACCAAAGAUGCCCUCAGAAGUUCACAAUCAAUAUAAAGUUUUGAUACAACAUGGAGUAUGAGAGUGAAAGCAAGAGAGCACAAGGAAGGAGAGCAACAGAGGGAGAAGCAGGCUCCCUGCUCAGUGGGGCUUGAGCCUAGAACCCAGGGAUCAAGAUCUGAACCAAAGGCAGAUGCUUAACGCAUUGAGCUACCCAG